rnacentral:rRNA from 1 species
AUUGAACGCUGGCGGCAUGCUUUACACAUGCAAGUCGAACGGUAACAGGCCGCAAGGUGCUGACGAGUGGCGAACGGGUGAGUAAUGCAUCGGAACGUGCCCAGUCGUGGGGGAUAACGCAGCGAAAGCUGCGCUAAUACCGCAUACGAUCUCUGGAUGAAAGCGGGGGACCGAAAGGCCUCGCGCGAUUGGAGCGGCCGAUGUCAGAUUAGGUAGUUGGUGGGGUAAAGGCCCACCAAGCCAACGAUCUGUAGCUGGUCUGAGAGGACGACCAGCCACACUGGGACUGAGACACGGCCCAGACUCCUACGGGAGGCAGCAGUGGGGAAUUUUGGACAAUGGGCGCAAGCCUGAUCCAGCAAUGCCGCGUGCAGGAAGAAGGCCUUCGGGUUGUAAACUGCUUUUGUACGGAACGAAACGGUCCGGGCUAAUACCCUGGGCUAAUGACGGUACCGUAAGAAUAAGCACCGGCUAACUACGUGCCAGCCGCCGCAGUAACAC